CUACGCACUCCUACGGGAGGCAGCAGUGGGGAAUAUUGCACAAUGGGCGCAAGCCUGGAAUGCAGCCAUGCCGCGUGUAUGAAGAAGGACCUUCGGGUUGUAAAGGUACUUUACAGCAGUGAGGAAGGUGGGUAUGUUAAUAGCAUAUUCAUUUGACGUUAGCUGCAGAAGAAGCACCGGCUAACUCCGUGCCAGCAGCCGCGGUAAUACGGAGGGUGCGAGCGUUAAUCGGAAUUACUGGGCGUAAAGCGCAUGCAGGUGGUUUGUUAAGUCAGAUGUGAAAGCCCGGGGCUCAACCUCGGAAUUGCAUUUGAAACUGGCAAACUAGAGUACUGUAGAGGGGGUAGAAUUUCAGGUGUAGCGGUGAAAUGCGUAGAGAUCUGAAGGAAUACCGGUGGCGAAGGCGGCCCCCCUGGACAGAUACUGACACUCAGAUGCGAAAGCGUGGGGAGCAAACAGGAUUAGAUACCCUGGUAG
rnacentral:rRNA from 1 species